CCCAAGAGAGGGAGCUGCCGAAGGCAGGACUGAUGACUGGGGUGAAGUCGUAACAAGGUAGCCGUAUCGGAAGGUGCGGCUGGAUCACCUCCUUU
rnacentral:ncRNA from 1 species